rnacentral:rRNA from 1 species
AUUGAACGCUGGCGGCAUGCCUUACACAUGCAAGUCGAACGGUAACAGGUUAAGCUGACGAGUGGCGAACGGGUGAGUAAUAUAUCGGAACGUGCCCAGUAGUGGGGGAUAGCCCGGCGAAAGCCGGAUUAAUACCGCAUACGACCUACGGGUGAAAGGGGGGGAUCGCAAGACCUCUCGCUAUUGGAGCGGCCGAUAUCAGAUUAGGUAGUUGGUGGGGUAAAGGCCUACCGAGCCUGCGAUCUGUAGUUGGUCUGAGAGGACGACCAGCCACACUGGGACUGAGACACGGCCCAGACUCCUACGGGAGGCAGCAGUGGGGAAUUUUGGACAAUGGGCGCAAGCCUGAUCCAGCAAUGCCGCGUGCAGGAAGAAGGCCUUCGGGUUGUAAACUGCUUUUGUCAGGGAAGAAAUCCUCUGGGUUAAUACCUCGGGGGGAUGACGAUACCUGAAGGAUAAGCACCGGCUAACUACGUGCCAGCCGCCGCCGUAAGAC